AACGAACGCUGGCGGCAGGCUUAACACAUGCAAGUCGAACGCCCCGCAAGGGGAGUGGCAGACGGGUGAGUAACGCGUGGGAAUCUACCCUUUUCUACGGAACAACUGAGGGAAACUUCAGCUAAUACCGUAUACGGCCGAGAGGCGAAAGAUUUAUCGGAGAAGGAUGAGCCCGCGUUGGAUUAGCUAGUUGGUGGGGUAAAGGCCUACCAAGGCGACGAUCCAUAGCUGGUCUGAGAGGAUGAUCAGCCACACUGGGACUGAGACACGGCCCAGACUCCUACGGGAGGCAGCAGUGGGGAAUAUUGGACAAUGGGCGCAAGCCUGAUCCAGCCAUGCCGCGUGAGUGAUGAAGGCCCUAGGGUUGUAAAGCUCUUUCACCGGUGAAGAUAAUGACGGUAACCGGAGAAGAAGCCCCGGCUAACUUCGUGCCAGCCGCCGC
rnacentral:rRNA from 1 species